UUGGAUAUAGCUCAGUCGGUAGAGCGCAGCGUCUCGAUGCUGUGGUCGCGGGUUCGAUUCCCGUUAUCCCAU
rnacentral:tRNA from 1 species